rnacentral:lncRNA from 1 species
GUUGGUUUUUCUCUUUAAAAAUUAUUUGAGGGGCUGGUUUGGUUUAGUUGUAAAACACAAUUAAAAAGGGAAAACGCCAUCGUGGUUAUCAGAUCGAGCAAAAAAAAAGCGGCUACACAAGAUCGAUGGGGGAAAUCACCGUCCUCACUCAUCGGGAAAAAAAAGGGACGAUCACAGAAAUCGGGGGUCAUCGGAGGUGGGUUAUUAGUUUGCGAUGAGGGGAGAAGGGUCCAUCAAGACCAGCGACCCUCCUGUUCUUCGUGACUUCAUCGCCGGCUGCAAGGAAAAAUGAAAGGGAAACAACAGCAGUGAUUGGCGGUGGUGUAACAGGUGUUGAGUUGGCUGUUCAGUGGGCAAAGCAAACAACGAAAGGUAAGUUGUUCUAGUCUCUUGUGGAUUCGACUAGAGAGAAGAGGAGAUACGAGGGGUUGCUGCCCUCUUUGAGUGUCGGAGAUCUCCACCUCCUGUGGAGUUUUCUAUGAUUGAAAUUGAAGAAGAGGGGAAUACAGGAAGCAAAAUCAAACAAUGAUAUUAAGGGUCGUUUUGUUGUUUCAAUUGACAGAAAAUAAAAGGAGAAAGAAAACGGGGAUGCUCCCCUCUUGGUCUCGCCGGAAACAGCUACCACCAUCGGUGGUUCCUUGAGCGGUAAAUCACGAAGAAGAAAAAAGAAAGAAGAGAGAUAAUUUGAAGCAAUGAACCCAUUACAGGUAGUCCAAGGCUGAAAAUCUCUUAGCUUUCUAUAUGAUUUGGUUGUACCA